UACGUAGGGUGCAAGCGUUAAUCGGAAUUACUGGGCGUAAAGCGUGCGCAGGCGGUUUUGUAAGUCUGACGUGAAAUCCACGGGCUCAACCUGGGAAUUGCGUUGGAGACUGCGAGGCUAGAAUCUGGCAGAGGGGGGUAGAAUUCCACGUGUAGCAGUGAAAUGCGUAGAGAUGUGGAGGAACACCGAUGGCGAAGGCAGCCCCCUGGGUCAAGAUUGACGCUCAUGCACGAAAGCGUGGGGAGCAAACAGG
rnacentral:rRNA from 1 species